ACGCGAAGAACCUUACCAAAUCUUGACAUCCUCUGACCCCUCUAGAGAUAGAGUUUUCCCCUUCGGGGGACAGAGUGACAGGUGGUGCAUGGUUGUCGUCAGCUCGUGUCGUGAGAUGUUGGGUUAAGUCCCGCAACGAGCGCAACCCUUAAGCUUAGUUGCCAUCAUUAAGUUGGGCACUCUAAGUUGACUGCCGGUGACAAACCGGAGGAAGGUGGGGAUGACGUCAAAUCAUCAUGCCCCUUAUGAUUUGGGCUACACACGUGCUACAAUGGACAAUACAAAGGGCAGCGAAGCCGCGAGGUCAAGCAAAUCCCAUAAAGUUGUUCUCAGUUCGGAUUGUAGUCUGCAACUCGACUAUAUGAAGCUGGAAUCGCUAGUA
rnacentral:rRNA from 1 species